AUUGAACGCUGGCGGCAGGCUUAACACAUGCAAGUCGAGCGGGGUGAUGGUGCUUGCACUAUCACUUAGCGGCGGACGGGUGAGUAAUGCUUAGGAAUCUGCCUAUUAGUGGGGGACAACAUCUCGAAAGGGAUGCUAAUACCGCAUACGUCCUACGGGAGAAAGCAGGGGAUCACUUGUGACCUUGCGCUAAUAGAUGAGCCUAAGUCGGAUUAGCUAGUUGGUGGGGUAAAGGCCUACCAAGGCGACGAUCUGUAGCGGGUCUGAGAGGAUGAUCCGCCACACUGGGACUGGGACACGGCCCAGGCUCCUACGGGAGGCAGCAGUGGGGAAUAUUGGACAAUGGGGGGAACCCUGAUCCAGCCAUGCCGCGUGUGUGAAGAAGGCCUUAUGGUUGUAAAGCACUUUAAGCGAGGAGGAGGCUCUUUUGGUUAAUACCCAAGAUGAGAGGACGUUACUCGCAGAAUAAGCACCGGCUAACUCUGUGCCAGCAGCCGCAGUAA
rnacentral:rRNA from 1 species